UAGAAACCAAAUUUCAUAAUUUUUUGACUUCAUUUGCUUAAUGAACGAAUAGCCUCAAAAUGAACGGCUGAAAAUAAAAAUCUCAUAAAAAACAGUGAUAAAUGACUCAAAUUUCAAAUCGGAAGUAUUGUUCUUACUCUUGAUGUUAAGUAGAAUUUUCUAUUAAAGUUUAAUAUAAUUUGGAUACUUCUACACCGUUGAACUUAAAAACGUGCCACAUCGGCCGUUAAAAUAGUCAUUUUUGAGACCCUGUGAUCGCUUGGUAAAUGAUGUCGAAAAAUUAUAAAAUUUGGUUUCUAAAUAGUUCCAAUAGCAUAGAUUAUGCCUACCGGAGCCGAUUGUCGUCGAAUUGAAUGUCCUAUCAUCGAAAACAACUUACAAGUACGGAAGCUUUCAUACUUUCGAAAGCACGGGAGACGUACUCGAGAGAGCUAGGCUCCUAUACUUUUGAAAGUACGGAGGCCUCCGUGCUUGUAAGUUGUUUCCAAUGAUGGGACAUCCGAUUCGGCGAUCGGUUCCGUUAAACAUGAUUCGGCGAUCGGUUCCAUACUCUAUAUAUAUAUAUACAUAUAUAUAUAUAGUCCGGCAACAAGCACUUGGUGCUAUUAAGUUUUCUACUGUUAGAUUAACUCCCCUUUGAUCAUUUUUAUCUAUUAGAUAAUACUAUUCAACCAAUUGUCGCCGCCAAAACGUUUUUCGUGGCGACAAUUUGGGCUAUGGUCGCGACAUUUGUCGCCACUAAAUCUUGUACCUGUAGUAAUGCACCCACUCAAACCUAGAGGACUAUUAUUAUUAUAACCGUACAUUGCUUCAUCCAAGGGCCGAAAACUUAAUAGCACC
rnacentral:lncRNA from 1 species